rnacentral:misc_RNA from 1 species
AAAACACUAAUACAAUCUAGACAAUACUUGCAAUGCAACAUACCUUAAUUCAAUUUUCAUCUGGGCAAGCUUCAAGAAAUUCUCUUAUUUUGCUUCUUUCUUCGGCUGUGAGUUCUGGUUCAUCUCCGGUUAACCUUCCCCGAAGAAUUGCUCUAUCACUACCCGGAUCCUCAUCUUCAACAACUUCAAUGAAAUUGUUGACGUGGCCAUCUUUGUUGGGUGGAGUGACGGGCUCGUUUUCGUUGCACGUCCAUAUACCAUCGAUAAUGUAUUUGUAUUCAUAUCGUCCUUCCGGCAGUUCCCUAUUGAGAAUCCAUGCACCUCGUGCCUCGUCGAAUUUUAAUGGAAUCCUCUGGCCCCAUCCAAUAUCAAGU